rnacentral:rRNA from 1 species
GACGAACGCUGGCGGCGUGCUUAACACAUGCAAGUCGAGCGGUAAGGCCCUUUCGGGGGUAUACGAGCGGCGAACGGGUGAGUAACACGUGGGUGACCUGCCCUCAGCUCUGGGAUAAGCCUGGGAAACCGGGUCUAAUACUGGAUAUGACUCCAUGACGCAUGUUGUGGGGUGGAAAGCCUUGUGCGGCUGAGGAUGGGCCCGCGGCCUAUCAGCUUGUUGGUGGGGUGANGGCCUACCAAGGCGACGACGGGUAGCCGGCCUGAGAGGGCGACCGGCCACACUGGGACUGAGACACGGCCCAGACUCCUACGGGAGGCAGCAGUGGGGAAUCUUGCGCAAUGGGCGAAAGCCUGACGCAGCGACGCCGCGUGAGGGAUGACGGCCU